CUUUUUUUAAGCAGCCAAUAAUCUGCUCUAAAAUUUUGAUAGAAUACAAUAAAACAAAGCAACAAUAUGGUUUGUCUCCCUAAAAGAAGAUUUGAUUUCCCAAAACUACUUCUAGCAGUGAGAAAGAUCCUAUCAUGGACAACAGAGCUUAUCCACCUGAUGAAUUGUGUGUUGUUUACCGCUUUGUGCACUUUAGAGAUGAUGUCUCAGAGCAAAUCAAUUUAAAUCGAUAUUCUGUACACAGUGACUGUGCAAGUUUGUAUUCUGUGACUCUCUCCUGUACCAUGUGGU